UACAGAGGGUGCGAGCGUUAAUCGGAAUUACUGGGCGUAAAGCGUGCGCAGGCGGUCUUUUAAGUCAGAUGUGAAAUCCCCGGGCUUAACCUGGGAACUGCGUUUGAAACUGGAAGGCUUGAGUGUGGCAGAGGGGGGUGGAAUUCCACGUGUAGCAGUGAAAUGCGUAGAGAUGUGGAGGAACACCGAUGGCGAAGGCAGCCCCCUGGGCUAACACUGACGCUCAUGCACGAAAGCGUGGGGAGCAAACAGG
rnacentral:rRNA from 1 species